rnacentral:rRNA from 1 species
GAUGAACGCUGGCGGCGUGCCUAAUACAUGCAAGUCGAACGAGGUGCUUUUGUAGCAAUACGAGAGUAUCCUAGUGGCGAACGGGUGAGUAACGCGUUGGUGACCUACCCCGAAGUGUGGAAUAACAGUCCGAAAGGAUUGCUAAUACCGCAUGUGGUUAUCGGGCUUAGAAACUGAUAACUAAAGGAGCAAUUCGCUUUGGGAGGGACCUGCGUCCCAUCAGCUAGUUGGUGAGGUGACGGCUCACCAAGGCUACGACGGGUAGGGGACCUGAGAGGGUGACCCCCCACAAUGGAACUGAAACACGGUCCAUACACCUACGGGUGGCAGCAGUAGGGAAUAUUGCACAAUGGGCGAAAGCCUGAUGCAGCAACGCCGCGUGUGCGAUGAAGGCCUUCGGGUCGUAAAGCACUUUUCUGAGAGAUGAGAAAGGACAGUAUCUCAGGAAUAAGUCUCGGCUAACUACGUGC